UGAUUUGAUGUUCCACAUGCAGUGCAGAAUCCUAGUCGGCAAGCAUGGGUGUAUGUACCUUGGAAGAAGCAUACAGCACGGCAAGCUGUAUGUGCAUGUACAUGUGUGCUGUCAGAAGUCUUCCCAUGCGUGCUUGGUUACUGUUAAAGCAUUUUCCCAUGUGUGCUGUCAGAAGACAGCAGAUGGUGCUGCUGCAUGUGUGUGUGCUGUUAUCUCGUAGUUUAAUAUGUAAAGGUGUAUAGAUGGUGCUGCAGCAUGUGUGUGCAUGCUGUCACUUACAGUUUAAUCUGUAAAGUGUUGUUGUGGUGUAUAUAUCAAAGCCUUCCCGUAAGGCCUAAGAUGAAUAUGAGAUUUUGAAGUUAUAAUUCAAAUCAGAAAUUCUAUA